rnacentral:rRNA from 1 species
UACGUAGGUGGCAAGCGUUGUUCGGAUUUAUUGGGUUUAAAGGGUGCGUAGGCGGUUCUGUAAGUCAGCGGUGAAAUACGACAGCCCAACUGUCGAGGUGCCGUUGAUACUGCAGAGCUUGAGUGUCGUUGGGGCAAGCGGAAUUGACGGUGUAGCGGUGAAAUGCUUAGAUAUCGUCAAGAACACCGAUAGCGAAGGCAGCUUGCCAAAGGACAACUGACGCUGAGGCACGAAAGUGCGGGGAU